GACGAACGCUGGCGGCGUGCUUAACACAUGCAAGUCGAACGGAAAGGCCCUGCUUUUGUGGGGUGCUCGAGUGGCGAACGGGUGAGUAACACGUGAGUAACCUGCCCUUGACUUUGGGAUAACUUCAGGAAACUGGGGCUAAUACCGGAUAGGAGCUCCUGCUGCAUGGUGGGGGUUGGAAAGUUUCGGCGGGUGGGGAUGGACUCGCGGCUGAUCAGCUUGUUGGUGGGGUAGUGGCUUACCAAGGCUUUGACCGGUAGCCGGCCUGAGAGGGUGGCCGGCCACAUUGGGACUGAGAUACGGCCCAGACUCCUACGGGAGGCAGCAGUGGGGAAUAUUGCACAAUGGGCGGAAGCCUGAUGAAGCAACGCCGCGUGCGGGAUGACGGCCUUCGGGUUGUAAACCGCUUUCGCCUGUGACGAAGCGUGAGUGACGGUAAUGGGUAAAGAAGCACCGGCUAACUACGUG
rnacentral:rRNA from 1 species